GUCUAUGGCCGUACCACCCUGAACAUGCCCGAUCUUGGCUGAUCUCAGAUGCUAAGCAGGGUCGGGCCUGGCUAGUACUUGGAUGGGAGAAAAGAUGGGCAAAAAUAUAUAAAUAUAGACA
rnacentral:rRNA from 1 species